AGGGCACCACCAGGAGUGGAGCCUGCGGCUUAAUUUGACUCAACACGGGGAAACUCACCCGGCCCGGACACCGUAAGGAUUGGCAGAUUGAUAGCUUUUUCAUGAUUCGGUGGAUGGUGGUGCAUGGCCGUUCUUAGUUCGUGGAGCGAUUUGUCUGGUUUAUUCCGAUAACGAGCGAGACUCUAGCCUACUAAAUAGUUCGCACAUUGUCUCUGUGUGUGUGACUUCUUAGAGGGAUUUUCGGUGUUCAGCCGCACGAAAUUGAGCAAUAACAGGUCUGUGAUGCCCUUAGAUGUCCGGGGCUGCACGCGCGCUACACUGGCAAAAUCAGCGUGCUUGUCCUUCCCCGAAAGGGGUCGGUAAACCCUUGAAAAUUUGCCGUGAUUGGGAUUGGAAAUUGCAAUUAUUUUCCAUGAACGAGGAAUUCCAAGUAAGUGCGAGUCAUCAGCUCGCGUUGAUUACGUCCCUGCCCUUUGUACACACCGCCCGUCGCUGCCCGGGACUGAGCCAUUUCGAGAA
rnacentral:rRNA from 1 species